UACGGGGGGAGCAAGCGUUGUUCGGAUUUACUGGGCGUAAAGGGCGCGUAGGCGGCCACCGCAAGUCGACUGUGAAAUCUCCGGGCUUAACCCGGAAAGGUCAGCCGAUACUGCGGGGCUAGAGUGCAGAAGGGGCAACUGGAAUUCUCGGUGUAGCGGUGAAAUGCGUAGAUAUCGAGAGGAACACCUGCGGCGAAGGCGGGUAGCUGGGCCGACACUGACGCUGAUGCGCGAAAGCCAGGGGAGCGAACAGG
rnacentral:rRNA from 1 species